rnacentral:lncRNA from 1 species
AUGUGGUUAUAGAUAGGUGUGCACGUGUGCAUAUGUGGUUAUGCAUAGGUGUGCACGUGUGUAUAUGUGGUUCUGCAUAGGUGUGCACGUGUGCAUAUGUGGUUCUGCAUAGGUGUGCACGUGUGCAUAUGUGGUUCUGCAUAGGUGUGCACGUGUGCAUAUGUGGUUCUGCAUAGGUGUGCACGUGUGCAUAUGUGGUUCUGCAUAGGUGUGCACGUGUGCAUAUGUGGUUCUGCAUAGGUGUGCACGUGUGCAUAUGUGGUUCUGCAUAGGUGUGCAC